rnacentral:rRNA from 1 species
UACGUAGGGUGCAAGCGUUGUCCGGAAUUAUUGGGCGUAAAGAGCUCGUAGGCGGUUUGUCGCGUCUGCUGUGAAAACUCGGGGCUUAACUCCGGGCCUGCAGUGGGUACGGGCAGACUAGAGUGCGGUAGGGGAGACUGGAAUUCCUGGUGUAGCGGUGAAAUGCGCAGAUAUCAGGAGGAACACCGGUGGCGAAGGCGGGUCUCUGGGCCGUAACUGACGCUGAGGAGCGAAAGCGUGGGGAGCGAACGG